rnacentral:rRNA from 1 species
UGGGGAAUAUUGCACAAUGGGCGAAAGCCUGAUGCAGCAACGCCGCGUGAGUGAUGAAGGCCUUCGGGUUGUAAAGCUCUGUCUUUUGGGACGAUAAUGACGGUACCAAAGGAGGAAGCCACGGCUAACUACGUGCCAGCAGCCGCGGUAAUACGUAGGUGGCAAGCGUUGUGCCGGAUUUACUGGGCGUAAGGGAUGCGUAGGCGGAUUUUUAAGUGAGAUGUGAAAUACCCGGGCUUAACUUGGGUGCUGCAUUUCAAACUGGGAAUCUAGAGUGCGGGAGAGGAGAAUGGAAUUCCUAGUGUAGCGGUGAAAUGCGUAGAGAUUAGGAAGAACACCAGUGGCGAAGGCGAUUCUCUGGACCGUAACUGACGCUGAGGCAUGAAAGCGUGGGUAGCAAACAGGAUUAGAUACCCUGGUAGUCCACGCCGUAAACGAUGAGUACUAGGUGUAGGAGGUAUCGACCCCUUCUGUGGCCGCAGUUAACACAAUCAAGUACUCCGCCUGGGAAGUACGAUCGCAAGAUUAAAACUUAAAGGAAUUGACGGGGGUCAUAGCUGUUUUCCU